rnacentral:rRNA from 1 species
CCUGGUUGAUCCUGCCAGUAGCAUAUGCUUGUCUCAAAGUUUAAGCCAUGCAUGUAUAAGUCCACACGGCUGGAAAAGUGAAACUGCGAAUGGCUCAUUAAAUCAGUUAUGGUUCCUUUGAUCGCUCACCCGCUACUUGGAUUCGCACUGGAUAACUGUGGCAAUUCUAGACAAUACAUGCAAACGAGCCUGACUCCGGGGAACGUGCAUUAACAGACCUAAAAACCGCGCGGCGCGUGCCGCGUGGGCCCCCGCCUGUUUUGGUGACUCUAGAUAACCUUGGGCCGAUCGCUCGCCCUCGCGGCGGCGACGACUCAUUCGAAUGUCUGCCCUAUCAACUUUCGAUGGUACUCUAUGUGCCUACCAUGGUGACCACGGGUAACGGGGAAUCAGGGUUCGAUUCCGGAGAGGGAGCCUGAGAAAUGGCUACCACAUCCAAGGAAGGCAGCAGGCGCGCAAAUUACCCAUUCACGACUCGUGGAGGUAGUGACGAAAAAUAACAAUACAGGACUCUUUCGAGGCCCUGUAAUUGGAAUGGAUGUACUUAAAUCCUUGCCAGUACAAAGGAGGGCAAGUCCUGUUCCACAGCCAGCGUAAUCCAGCUCAAUAGCGACUUAAAAAGUUGCUUGCAGUUAAAAAGCUCGUAGUUGGAUCUCGGGGCCGGCUCACGUCCGCCAAAGGCUGCCACCCGUCCGCCCCCCGCCCCUAGGCGCCCCCUCGAUGCUCUUGUUGAGUUCUUGCGGGGUCGAACGCUUACUUUGAAAAAAUAGAGUGUUCAAAGCAGGCCCAGUUGCACGAAUACGCAGCAGGAAUAAUGGAAUAGACUCCGUUCAUUUGUGGUUCUCCCAUGGACGGGCCAAGAAUAAAGGACGGCCGGGGCAUUCGCAGCGCCGCAAGAGUAAAUUCUUGGACCGGCGCAAGACGGACAAAGCGAACAGCAUUGCCAAAAUUUUUCAAUUAACAAGAACGAAAGUCGGAGGUUCGAAACAUCAGAUACGUCGUAAUUCCACCAUAAACGAUCCGACUACGGAUUCCGGCGCGUUAUUCCCAUGACCCGCCGGGAGCCUACCCGGAACAAACCAAAGUCCCUUGGGUUCCGGGAGUAAAUGUCACAGCUGAAACUUAAAGGAAUAACGAAGGCACCACCAGAAUGGAGCCUGCGCUAUAAUUUGACUCAACACAGGAAACCUCACCCGCCCCGACACGGAAAGGAUUGACAGAUGAAUAGCUCUAUCUCGAUACUGUGGGUGUGGUGCAUGCCCGUCGUAGUUGGUGGAGCGAUUUGUCUGUUAAUUCCGACAACGAACGAGACUCUCGAAGCUAAAUAUUAGCGACGCGGCGGGUCGGCGUCCAGAACUCUUAAGGGACAAUUGCGUACAGCCGCACACAGAUGAGCAAGAACAGGUGACUGAGCCUUAGAUGUCGCGGCUGCACCGCGCACACUGGGAGACGACCAACGGAGCCUGCCCUUCGCCGCAGGCGUGGUAACCCGCUAAACACCGCUCGUGAUGGGAUUGGGGACUGGAACUAUGCCCAUGAACGAGAAUUCCCAAGUAACACCUUUGGGACACUGCUCGCGUGAUUAAGUCACGCCCGUUCGUACACACCGCCCGUCGCUACUGGGACUAGGCAUUGAGCUGAGUGCGUCCUCGAUCGCCGCCCGCCGGAGCCUUCACGGCUCUGACGCGCCCGUCGCCGAGAAGACGAUCAAACUUGACUAUCUAGAGAGAAUCAAAGUCGUAAACAAGGUUUCCGUAGGUGAACCUGCGGAAG